rnacentral:rRNA from 1 species
AACGAACGCUGGCGGCAUGCCUUACACAUGCAAGUCGAACGGCAGCACGGGAGCAAUCCUGGUGGCGAGUGGCGAACGGGUGAGUAAUAUAUCGGAACGUGCCCAGUCGUGGGGGAUAACGUAGCGAAAGCUACGCUAAUACCGCAUACGAUCUAUGGAUGAAAGCGGGGGAUCGCAAGACCUCGCGCGAUUGGAGCGGCCGAUAUCAGAUUAGGUAGUUGGUGAGGUAAAGGCUCACCAAGCCGACGAUCUGUAGCUGGUCUGAGAGGACGACCAGCCACACUGGGACUGAGACACGGCCCAGACUCCUACGGGAGGCAGCAGUGGGGAAUUUUGGACAAUGGGCGCAAGCCUGAUCCAGCAAUGCCGCGUGCAGGAUGAAGGCCUUC